rnacentral:lncRNA from 1 species
UUAGGGUUAUCCCUAAUUAGGGCAUUAUUAAUAAUGUUUAAACCUUAUACUAGCAUUUGCAUUCUCAAACUAGGGUUUCAACUUUCGAAUUAGGGUUUCAGAUUCCUGGAACUGAAAUUAGGGUUUCCAGAACCGAUUUUAGGGUUUCAUAUAAAUUGUAAGAAUUUUCUAACUGAACGUUGACGUUCUUAAUAUAAUAUUAGGGUUUGUCACUGAUAUAUCUUAUCUGGUCAACCCUUGACCCUUAACCACAUACUGUACACAUAUAAUACCAUAUACACAGAACAUAACACUUAUUCCCUUAAUCCUGAAUAAUUCACCAAAAGAUUUGUAAAUCCAUAGAAUUCCUUCUCGAAAAUCUCAAAUUCAUUCACUUAUUUUCUGUCUAGGUUUAUUAUUUAACCUUAAUUCAAUAUUUUAAAAUUUUAUAAAUAUUCAAAUUCUUGGGUUGUCACAUUCACCCCUUCUUCUAAAAAUUUUAUCCCCGAAAUUUACCUUACACCUUACAACAUACACCAUUCCUUCUCAUCAUCACAUGCUACCCAAUACAUUCCUCACAAGAGUAAAAAAAAUAAUUAAUAAUUGUGUUGAGGGGUUGUAUAGACUAUUGUCUGUCAUUUUCGCAAAGAUUUUAUGGAAAUUCAUCCGCAAACUGUCAUAACUUACGGACAUAGUGGGUAAUUAGCCUGGUAUGCUCUGUACUUAUUAAGUACUACUGGUCGAAUCUGUUUCUCGUCACUGCCAUAUGCACAAAAUUUUUACAUCAGUCUUAUCGGAUUUCGCACCAAAAUAAUUUGGUUCGAAAAAAUUUUCAAAGAACGCUUAUAAUUUUCAUAAACGUUGGUCUAGCCGAAUCAAAUAGCUUAAACUCAUAUCAAUAGUCAACUUUAAUCGAAUUACGAAUGUGUGUAGCCAAACGCUGUUGGCAAAUUAAAAUUUUAAAAUAGUUUGAAAAUGACGCCAUGAUGCCGUACUGUAUUAACAUUCAGUUUGAGGAUGUCGUCAUCUAGUGAAUUUG